rnacentral:rRNA from 1 species
GACGUAGGAGGCGAGCGUUGUCCGGAUUCAUUGGGCGUAAAGAGCGCGCAGGCGGCUUGGUAAGUCGGAUGUGAAAACCCGAGGCUCAACCUCGGGCGUGCAUCCGAAACUGCUCGGCUAGAGGUAGGUAGGGGAGAUCGGAAUUCCUGGUGUAGCGGUGAAAUGCGCAGAUAUCAGGAAGAACACCGAUGGCGAAGGCAGU